GACGGCAGAUGAAGAAGAGUCAUGCCUUCUUCCCUGUUCUUUCAUCCAAUUCUCCCAAUUUUGCCCUCAAUUCCAUGUAUACAAGUAUGUGUUCCCUGCCAUCGACGUUUCUUAUCCUUCACCCAUUUCAAUUCAACAUAUUGAAUGUUAUAACUUAUAAACAACCUUCUUGAACGGGAGAAUCAACCAUCGUUGCUUCAAUUUCCCUCAACCCUAAUCAACCAAAACGCCGCUGAUGAACAACCGUCAGUUAUGGCCUUUCAAUUGAGGCGUGAUUGAAACCAAUUGAAGACGCGAAUUGAAUCCGCCCCUUCGCUUCCAGACCCCACCCCCUUUAAACUCAACAUAUUAUCAUUCAGGAUGUGACACCUGCGACUUCAGUUGCUUAUUAUCAGGUAAGGGUUUCCAAUGGUACAUUACAUGAGCCAUCACCAAAUAUAACAGAAAGACAUUGACCUGGAGGCAUCCCCUCACCGGAUUUAUGUAUUUCUAUCUACACAUAAGGUUUAUGAGCUGCUUUCUAAGUCUAGCAAGGUCUAAUAUGAUUAUUGGUUUUUCAAUAAAGGAAUUUCAUCAUCAUCAUCAUCCGCAUCAUGUGGCGAUUCAGUAUCAUCAUCAGCAGCAUAAUCAUAUGGUCAUCAGCGACAGUUUAAUGGUGGUGGCACAGGGUAUCUGGAUCAGAAGGAUGUUUCGGUUUUGUAGCGGGCAGUUCAUGGAGAUUUGGAGGUGAAAGAUGGGCUAACUGAUGAAUCUACUCAGAAGAUUGUUAAUCAGGCAGGGUUUUGGUUUAUUUUCUAUACGGUUUUAUAUGUUUUUGAUAUGUUUUUAUUUUCCUGAAUUUUACUGUAUUGAUACUUUAAUUUUGUGCUGUUGUGUGUUGAUGAUAGAGAUGUGAAUUAUGAUUUAA